GGUUUUUGUUCUUUAUAUAUGAAUACAGUGCAUAGCACUAGUUGUAUGUUGAACCAAAUUUUGCUUUCCUGAGGUAAAUACCCUUGAUAUAGCAUACAAUACUUUUUACAUGUUUCUGCUUUGUUUUACUAAUAUUUCCUUGAUGAUUUUUGUCCCUGUAUUCAUAAGGUAUAUUGUUCUUCAUUUUCCCUAUUUGAAGUGUCUUUGUCUGGCUGCAGUAUCAGGGUAAACUAACUCAGUAUACAAUGGGAAAUCAUGUUUUCUCCACUUUUUUUGGAAUAAUUGUAAUGAAAUAGUAUUAAUUUUUUUAAAUGAUUAUAAUAAUUCACUGAUGAAUUUUCUUGAUGAGGUCAGAGAGGUUAAUCCUAAGAAUAGUUACAUGAGCUUGGAAGGAGACCCUUCCCCAGCUGAGCCUUAGCCUGGGCCAUCACCUACAUCUGGACUGAAGACCCAGAGAAACUACUCCAUCAGGAAUUGUCCGGGACCAUGCCUUCUAUUGCCCACUGCCAGCCCGAAAGCCACCAAGGUAGCAGUACUCCCGUGAACCAUGUCUGAGUGGAGUAAUGAUGGCACCACAGUCCAGCCUGCAUGGGUGUUGGCCUGAGUGCUCCCGCCUCAUGAAAUUCAGCCACCUCUUUCUCCAGUCAGUUCCAUCUUCUCAACUCCGACUGUCUUCCAGAGUCCGUGUCACACCACAGCCUGGAAACUCUUCCCCAAGCAGUAACCUGAAGCAACAUUACUCCAUCAUUACUGUACCACCGCCUAUAUGGAUGUAGUUGUCAGUGUGAAGCUGAGUAAGGAACAACGUGCAUCAGACUCAGAGAAAAAUGGACAAGCGAGCUGGCCUUUGUAUCACUAAAGGGAAGGGUUUGGAAUAAUUCAUCAGUGUAAUCUUCUCAACCUGGUCAAUCACAUGAACUUCGAAGAUGAUUCCUCCCCAGCUGAUCCUUCAGGCCUCUCUGGAUGGUGGCUAUAACCUAUAGCCUUGCCCAGUACGACUCAGGGUUUGGUACUGGAUGUGCCUUUCAUGGGAUGCUUGCUUAUCCUGAUCGAUGGCCUAAAGCCGAACUGUCCAGCUUACAUCCGGGUAUCCUUCUCAGAGAGUACUUGUUUAUAGUGUAAGACACCCUGUGGCUCCUGUCUGACCUGUAUCUAGUUUAUUUCUACCAAGGUAACCACUCUUUAGGAGAGUGCUAAGUGGGAGAAAAGUGAUGUCCAUGUGUGUUCGUCAAGUGAAAUACAGAGGAGGCAACUCAACACAAUGUGUAUAAUGGCGUUAGUAAUGUAUUACUAAUCAAUCCCAGUAAGAAGAGGCCAGCAUUCCUUGAAGUACCAAUGAAAAGAGAAGAGCUCUCCAGGCCACACUCUCAUAAGCAGCAGGGGUGGUUGAGGAGGAACUAGAGAAAGACAUGCUAUUGCCCCAUUUGUCUGAAGUCUUUAUGGGUGUAUUUGUCAGGUUUUUUUUCCAGCGAGACAGAACUACAGGGAGGUAGAUAGGUAGGUAGGUAGGUAGAUAGAAACGUAGAUGGAGAGUUGAUAGAUAGACAAUAGUUAGAUGAAUGGCAUUUUGUUUGGGGAUUUACUCGUGUAACAUUGUAGAGAUGGAGAAUUCCCAAGACAGCCAUCUGCAAGUUUAAGGACCUUGGAUGCUGUAGCGUGAUGGCUCAGUCCAAAGCUGAAAUCUUCAGAACCAGGGAAGCUCUUGGUGUAAUUCUCAGUUUGGGACCAAAGGCCUGAGAAUCCACGGACUGUGUAUAACUUCUGGAGUUUCAAGGUCAUAGAUUAUGGAGUUGUAUUUUCCAAGGGCAGGAAACGGAGUAUACUUUCUCCUGGAGAGAGACCGGAAAACUUUUUAAAUUUUUUCGUUUUUGGUUCUAUUUGGUCCCCAAGGAGAUUGUAUGCUGCCUUCCCUCAUUGAGGGUGGAUUUUUCCCACUAAAUUCCCUGACUCAUACCAACCUCCUCUGAAAACACCCUGGCAGAAACACCCAGAAGUAUGCUUUACCAAUUCUCUAGGUAUUCUUUAAUCCAGUCAGCACCUUAAAUUAACCAUGACAAGUCCAGCACCUUUCUAGUUGGCACCUAUAUGUAUCACCUUAAGCCAUAACUAAUCUUUAGAUACAGACAAUAACAAGGCAAUAGUUCUACCUAACAUGAUGCAACCAUCCUGUGUGCAACCAAAACACACUAUACUAUUUGUCUUAAGAGCAGUGGAAGUUUGUGGGUGAUGUUUACUCUUCUCCUGAUACCCCAUAACUUCAAUACAAGUAUGUUAAAUUGCUAA